UACGGGGGGAGCAAGCGUUGUUCGGAUUUACUGGGCGUAAAGGGCGCGUAGGCGGCCACCGCAAGUCGGUUGUGAAAUCUCUGGGCUUAACCCAGAAAGGUCAACCGAUACUGCGGGGCUAGAGUGCAGAAGGGGCAACUGGAAUUCUCGGUGUAGCGGUGAAAUGCGUAGAUAUCGAGAGGAACACCGGUGGCGAAGGCGGCAUCCUGGACCGGCAUUGACGCUGAGGCGCGAAAGCCAGGGGAGCAAACGGG
rnacentral:rRNA from 1 species